rnacentral:rRNA from 1 species
GAUGAACGCUGGCGGUAUGCUUAACACAUGCAAGUCGAACGGACUCUUCGGAGUUAGUGGCGGAUGGGUGUGUAACGCGUGAGAAUCUGGCUUUGGGUUCGGGACAACCACUGGAAACGGUGGCUAAUACCGGAUGUGCCGAGAGGUAAAAGAGUAAUUGCCUGAAGAUGAGCUCGCGUCUGAUUAGCUAGUUGGUGAGGUAAAGGCUCACCAAGGCAGCGAUCAGUAGCUGGUCUGAGAGGAUGACCAGCCACACUGGGACUGAGACACGGCCCAGACUCCUACGGGAGGCAGCAGUGGGGAAUUUUCCGCAAUGGGCGAAAGCCUGACGGAGCAAUACCGCGUGAGGGAAGAAGGCUCUUGGGGUGUAAACCUCUUUUCUUAGGGAAGAACAAAAUGACGGUACCUAAGGAAUCAGCAUCGGCUAACUCCGUG